CCCUUAGAUGUCCGGGGCUGCACGCGCGCUACACUGAAGGAAUCAGCGUGCUAAAACCAUUGUCGAAAGGCAUUGGUAAACCCAUUAAAAUCCUACGUGAUUGGGAUCGGGAAUUGCAAUUAUUUCCCUUGAACGAGGAAUUCCCAGUAAGUGUGGGUCAUAAGCUCGCGUUGAUUACUUCCCUGCCCUUUGUACACACCGCCCGUCGCUGCCCGGGACUGAGCCGUUUCGAGAAAAGCGGGGACUGCUGCUGUCGGGGCUUUCGGGCCUUGGCUUCGGUGGAAACCGCUUUAAUCGCAGUGGCUUGAACCGGGCAAAAGUCGUAACA
rnacentral:rRNA from 1 species